AACGAACGCUGGCGGCAUGCCUAACACAUGCAAGUCGAACGAUUGCCUUCGGGUGAUAGUGGCGCACGGGUGCGUAACGCGUGGGAAUCUGCCCUUAGGUUCGGAAUAACAGCUGGAAACGGCUGCUAAUACCGGAUGAUAUCGCGAGAUCAAAGAUUUAUCGCCUGAGGAUGAGCCCGCGUUGGAUUAGGUAGUUGGUGGGGUAAAGGCCUACCAAGCCGACGAUCCAUAGCUGGUCUGAGAGGAUGAUCAGCCACACUGGGACUGAGACACGGCCCAGACUCCUACGGGAGGCAGCAGUGGGGAAUAUUGGACAAUGGGCGUAAGCCUGAUCCAGCAAUGCCGCGUGAGUGAUGAAGGCCCUAGGGUUGUAAAGCUCUUUUAACCGGGAAGAUAAUGACUGUACCGGGAGAAUAAGCCCCGGCUAACUCCGUG
rnacentral:rRNA from 1 species